GAAAUGCGAUAAGUAAUGUGGAUUGCAGCAUUCAGUGAAUCAUCGAAUCUUUGAACGCACAUUGCGCCCCCUGGUAUUCCGGGGGGCAUGCCUGUUCGAGCGUCAUUUCACCACUCAAGCCUCGCUUGGUAUUGGGCAACGCGGUCCGCCGCGUGCCUCAAAUCGACCGGCUGGGUCUUCUGUCCCCUAAGCGUUGUGGAAACUAUUCGCUAAAGGGUGUUCGGGAGGCUACGCCGUAAAACAACCCCAUUUCUAAGGUUGACCUCGGAUCAGGUAGGGAUACCCGCUGAACUUAAGC
rnacentral:misc_RNA from 1 species